CGCUGGCGGCGUGCCUAAUACAUGCAAGUCGAACGGUCUUUCUAUGGAAGCUUGCUUCCACUGAGAAGAUAGUGGUGAACGGGUGAGUAACACGUGGGUAACCUGCCCAUAAGAGGGGGAUAACAUCCGGAAACGGGUGCUAAUACCGCAUAGUUUUCUUGAUCGCAUGAUCGGGAAAGGAAAGACGGCCUUUGUGCUGCCGCUUAUGGAUGGACCCGCGGCGUAUUAGUUAGUUGGUGAGGUAACGGCUCACCAAGACGAUGAUACGUAGCCGACCUGAGAGGGUGAUCGGCCACAUUGGGACUGAGACACGGCCCAAACUCCUACGGGAGGCAGCAGUAGGGAAUCUUCCGCAAUGGACGAAAGUCUGACGGAGCAACGCCGCGUGAGUGAAGAAAAGGUUUUCGGAUCGUAAAACUCUGUUGUCAGAGAAGAACAAGUUGGAGAGUAACUGCUCCAGCCUUGACGGUAUCUGACCAGAAAGCCACGGCUAACUACGUGCCAGCCGCAGC
rnacentral:rRNA from 1 species